ACUAGGAGCCGAAGAAGGACGGGACUAACACCGAUAUGCUUUGGGGAGCUGUACGUAAGCGUUGAUCCAGAGAUUUCCGAAUGGGGGAACCCACUAUCUUUAGUCGGAUAGUAUCCUUACGUGAAUACAUAGCGUGAGGAAGGCAGACCCAGGGAACUGAAACAUCUAAGUACCUGGAGGAAGAGAAAGAAAAAUCGAUUUCCUGAGUAGCGGCGAGCGAAACGGAAAGAGCCCAAACCAAGAAGCUUGCUUCUUGGGGUUGUAGGACACUCUAUACGGAGUUACAAAAGAAAGUUAUAAAUGAAGCGGUCUGGAAAGGCCCGCCAAAGACGGUAACAGCCCGGUAGUUGAAAUGGCUUUCCCUCCAGAGUGGAUCCUGAGUACGGCGGAACACGUGAAAUUCCGUCGGAAUCCGGGAGGACCAUCUCCCAAGGCUAAAUACUCCCUAGUGACCGAUAGUGAACCAGUACCGUGAGGGAAAGGUGAAAAGCACCCCGGAAGGGGAGUGAAACAGUUCCUGAAACCGUGUGCCUACAAGUAGUUAGAGCCCGUUAAUGGGUGAUAGCGUGCCUUUUGUAGAAUGAACCGGCGAGUUACGAUUUGUUGCAAGGUUAAGCGGAAAAAGCGGAGCCGUAGCGAAAGCGAGUCUGAAUAGGGCGCAUAAGUAACAGGUCGUAGACCCGAAACCAGGUGAUCUACCCAUGUCCAGGAUGAAGGUAAGGUAAUACUUACUGGAGGUCCGAACCCACGCACGUUGAAAAGUGCGGGGAUGAGGUGUGGGUAGCGGAGAAAUUCCAAUCGAACUUGGAGAUAGCUGGUUCUCUCCGAAAUAGCUUUAGGGCUAGCCUCGAGGUAAAGAGUCAUGGAGGUAGAGCACUGUUUGGACUAGGGGCCCUUCUCGGGUUACCGAAUUCAGAUAAACUCCGAAUGCCAUGUACUUAUACUCGGGAGUCAGACUGCGAGUGAUAAGAUCCGUAGUCGAAAGGGAAACAGCCCAGACCACCAGUUAAGGUCCCCAAAUAUAUGUUAAGUGGAAAAGGAUGUGGGGUUGCUUAGACAACCAGGAUGUUGGCUUAGAAGCAGCCACCAUUGAAAGAGUGCGUAAUAGCUCACUGGUCGAGUGACCCCGCGCCGAAAAUGUACCGGGGCUAAACAUAUUACC
rnacentral:rRNA from 1 species